GUUCUUAACCAGUUCAUAAGCAUGAUGAUUGGGUGUUCACACAAUUGUGUGAUAUGUGUCUCUCUUAAAUCUUGUUAUAUUACCUGUCUGACA
rnacentral:snoRNA from 1 species